rnacentral:rRNA from 1 species
ACUCGGGCCAGGGUCCUACGGGAGGCAGCAGUACGGGAUCUUCGGCAAGGGACGGAAGUCUGACCGAGCAACGCCGCGUGAGUGAAGAAGGUUUUCGGAUCGUAAAACUCUGUUGUUAGAGAAGAACAAGGACGUUAGUAACUGAACGUCCCCUGACGGUAUCUAACCAGAAAGCCACGGCUAACUACGUGCCAGCAGCCGCGGUAAUACGUAGGUGGCAAGCGUUGUCCGGAUUUAUUGGGCGUAAAGCGAGCGCAGGCGGUUUCUUAAGUCUGAUGUGAAAGCCCCCGGCUCAACCGGGGAGGGUCAUUGGAAACUGGGAGACUUGAGUGCAGAAGAGGAGAGUGGAAUUCCAUGUGUAGCGGUGAAAUGCGUAGAUAUAUGGAGGAACACCAGUGGCGAAGGCGGCUCUCUGGUCUGUAACUGACGCUGAGGCUCGAAAGCGUGGGGAGCAAACAGGAUUAGAUACCCUGGUAGUCCACGCCGUAAACGAUGAGUGCUAAGUG